rnacentral:rRNA from 1 species
CCUACGGGUGGCAGCAGUGAGGAAUAUUGGUCAAUGGGCGGAAGCCUGAACCAGCCAAGUCGCGUGAGGGAAUAAGGCCCUACGGGUCGUAAACCUCUUUUGCCGGGGAGCAAGGGCGGGGACGUGUCCCGGCCCGGAGAGUACCCGGAGAAAAAGCAUCGGCUAACUCCGUGCCAGCAGCCGCGGUAAUACGGAGGAUCCGAGCGUUAUCCGGAUUUAUUGGGUUUAAAGGGAGCGUAGAUGGGUUGUUAAGUCAGUUGUGAAAGUUUGCGGCUCAACCGUAAAAUUGCAAUUGAUACUGGCAGUCUUGAGUACAGUUGAGGUAGGCGGAAUUCGUGGUGUAGCGGUGAAAUGCUUAGAUAUCACGAAGAACUCCGAUUGCGAAGGCAGCUUACUAAACUGCCACUGACAUUGAUGCUCGAAAGUGUGGGUAUCAAACAGGAUUAGAUACCCCAGUAGUC